CUCUGAGCCACAGCGGGAACUUCUACACCAAGAAUCUUAACCUUUUCCAUUUUUGUUCAUUGGUGCUUGUUCUUUUAAUUUUCCAUCAUGUCCUUGUUCUGAAUCUCCUGAGAACAAGGUACCCAUUUUAGAACAUGACAGUUGUGACAAUGAGGACAUAGCCAGGGAACGAACCCACUGGUCAUACCAGGGACUUCAGAAAUAACUGAGGUUGAUAGUACUAGAUCAGAUGACCUGGAAGAUGGAAUUUCCUGUUAAAGUCUCAGCCAAGAAGCCAGCUCAGGGGCAACACCAGCAGUGGUUGGAAUGCUAUUAUAGGAAGCAGGAAUAAUCAUUACAUUAGUGUCGGAUCUAUGGUGCUGUGGCUCUCUAGCUAAAAUACACAAGUUUAGAAACCAAGAAAUGGAAGUAAAACAGAUUCUUCUGUUCUCACUGCCUGUGACCGCCCUUCAGAAUUUGUGUUUCCUUUUCCCAUAGUCCUAGGCUCUGCUGGAUUAAAGGUCCCAGUUCCCAGAGGAAGAAGUUUUCUACCAGGGAAUCCAGUUAAGGAUUUCAGGGCACCUGCAGCUAUGACUUCCACCUAGGCCACUCUGAAUUCCUUGUGCCAAUGAUCCAGCAGGCAAAGGAAGGAGUUAUUAGAUGGAGGGGUAAUUGAGCCUAAUUAUCAUGGAGUAUUGGACUGUCAUUGCACAAUGAGAGCAAGAAGGCUUAUGUCUGGAAUAUAAGUGUUUCACACGCCCUACGUGAGGUAGUUCCAUGGCCUAUAAAAACAGCAAGUGGCAACCCUGGCAACAAGGCCUAGAAAGGACACAGUGACUAAGAACAGAGACUUCUCAGUCACAAAGGUCUGGCUCACCCGACCAGACAAGAAUCUAGGCUCCAUAAGGAAUCUAGGUUCCUUAUCCAACAUAAGGAAAUCUGGAGAGUAUAGAGGGGGAGGGAGAAGUUGAGCAUCAGUUGGUACAAGACUUGGUACAAAUUAAAGGGUCCUUAAGCUCAGGUCACACAACCUCCUGUAUUAAGUGUUUUAGAUGGAUUUCAGCCAGCCACAACUUUUAAGACUCAGAAAUACAGUGAAAACAACAUAAGACAAGCACAACUCUGAGUAAAACAAAGAGAGCACUGUAACAAACAUCUCGUGUGCCUUGUUGCCAUGUCCAAAUGCCUAGCUUCAAUUUUGUCAAUGAGGGUAGACAAUGGCAGACAAUUCUGUGGACACUCAAAUUCAUCUCAAGUUGAUAACAUCCAACAUUAAGCAUGUAUUGUGCAUUAUUUUUACUUCCUAUCCCAGGGCCUUCUCUGACUCCUCAGGAGCUCUUUCAGCCUACGGGCAAGCACAGCCUAUAAGUACAGGGCAAUUGCCACCCCUGCCAGCAAGCACUAGACAGAGGGGAAAGGUACAGAUGAACACAUUGGCUUCAUGCCUCCCAGCAGACAGUCCUGGGAAGCAUCCUGCAUGCUUCUCAGAGAUUCUGGCAGAAUCAAGCCCCAGUCUUGUGCUACCUGCUUUCUCAUUCCUGGUUCCUAACAGCUUUUCCCAAACAAACUACCUUGACCAGAGUCCUUACUCCAGGCUCUGUUUUGGGGGUAAAACAAAAUUAAAACAGAGAUUCUUUAGAAAUUUAAUAGACAAAGAACAGCAGAAAGUUCAAGGGGAACUUUACUGGGCUGAUUGCUAACAAGAGCAGGUGGAUACUUGAGUGACUACAGAAUUGCAAAAAUAGAAGAUGUCACCUUAUUUUUUCAGAAGAUGGUGACACAGAUCACAUUUAUGAAACUCCAGUCUCUGCAAAUGUAUGAUUAUGUCCUUACUCACCAAGUCUAAGCUUUUACCCUUAUCCUCAUCCCUCAGUCUGCUCAUCUUCGAUUAUUUAAACCUCAUUCCCACUUUUUCCCCCAAACAUACCUCUAUUCUAGUCAGGCUCUUCUCCUUACUGACCCAUAAGCACCUCAAGCUCUUGAGCUUCUCUUUUGGUUGUUUCACUCACCCCUAUUUCCCUUUUAUGUGUAUGUCAGGCUGGUCAAAUCAUAUUAGUUCCAUCAGCACACCUUAAAGCUUUAUCUCCUCCAAGGGUUCUUUUCUAAUAAUGAAUCUUGAAUCCCUUCUCUGCUAAUGUCACACAGUGCUGAACGUGAAACAGAAAGCCGGACUCAUAGCGACUUACCUUAUUAAAGCAUUUACUACUGUUUCCAGGCUCCAAUCCUUCCUCCCCCAAAGGCAUCACAGGGACAGAACUUUGCUUUGUACACCUCAGAAUUCCUCAAUCUUUUGGCAUAGUAUUGGGCACAUAAGUGCCAGAUAGAGCCCAAAUAUUGUGCUUAAAAUUUAUUUUGUAAUCAUCACAUAGUCAUAAAAGAAUAUUAAGGGGAAAAAUCAAUAUGUUCUAACAUAGUCAGAAUAUUUCUUUGGAGAAGGUAUGAAAAAAAGGUAGGAUUUUUAAAAGCAGCCAUAAAGGGAGGAAUAGGUUCUAUUUUAUAUAUCUUCAUUGAGUGUAAAUAGGAAUCUGAAAAUCAUAUAAACAUUUUGUUUUUUUUAACAGAACAGAUUUCUUGACUAAAUCUCUUUCUGUUAGUGGAACGGAUUUUAGGAAUUGCCUCAGUAAUUAUCUCUGCAACCCGAAGAGGGCACUGUUUGCAUGGUUGACAACAGUUACGUAAUCCAAGGCCCUCUAGACACACCUGUUCCAGUUCUGAAGCAGCAAUGUCACUUAGUACAGCUAAUAGCUGAGGUUCAGAUGAGAACAAGAGGUCUCUGUCACCUUGCAGGAGAGAACUGCUAGCAUGGCAGGCCCCAGUUUGCUGUGGACAGUCGUGGUCACCACCUAUCUUGGAUCCAGCCUGGCCCAGACAGUCACUCAGCCUCAAUGGGAAGUGCCUGGGCAGGAAGCAGAGACAGUGACCCUGGACUGUACAUAUACUACUAGUGAGAGUGAUUAUUAUUUGUUCUGGUACAAACAGCUUCCCAACGGGGAGAUGAUUUUCAUUAUUCGCCAAGAGGCUUAUAAGCAACAGAAUGCAACAAACAAUCGCUACUCUGUGAACUUCCAGAAAGCAGCCAAAUCCUUUGGGCUCAGGAUCUCAGCCUCCCAGCUUGAGGAUGCUGGAGUGUAUUUCUGCGCUUACAGUGCUCCACAGUGAGAUGAGCAACGAGGAGAGGCUUACAGAAACCUCAGACCUCAGCAUCUGUGCAGAGGUCAGGUGGGAGGGGGGCGGGAGUAGUCAAGGUAAGAGGAACAUAGAAAAUCAUUGACUUCUCUGGAGGAAAAAGAAAAUACUCUUCUAUCUGGCUGUAGGAAACACAGAACAGAUGUCUAUAAGCUGGAAUUCUCAAAACGUAAUAAAAAUAAUGGAGGUACACAAUGCUUUAUAGUUUUGUAAAGUACAUUCACAUGUAUUUAUUUAACUCUCACAACCCUGUGUGUGAUGUAGAAAAGGUCACUGCCAUCCAGGGACUCUCAUGUUCUCUACCUGCGUGUCCUACAAUUACAUCAGAGACAACAUAUCCAAUACUGACUUUCUUAUCCUCCCACAAAUCUUGUUUUAUUCUUCCCUCCUCAGCUUUGCUCAGGAUUCAGACAAACAAUAAAAAAUCUUCUAUUUCUGAGUUUGGAGAAUUAGAAGGCCUCUACCUCCAGGCCAUCUGAUUGUGUGUGUGCGCGUUGCUGCCACAAGAGAAAUCCCCAAACUAAACAUAAUUUUAUCAUAUGAUUCAGCAGCAGAGCUCCUUGGUAUUUACCCAAAUGAGCUGAACAUUACAUUUACACAAAAACCUGCACACAAAUGUUUAUAGAAGUUG